GACAGAGGGUGCAAACGUUUGUUCGGAAUUACUGGGCGUAAAGCGCGUGUAGGCGGCCAACUAAGUCGGGCGUGAAAUCCCACGGCUCAACCGUGGAAGUGCACUCGAAACUGGAUGGCUAGAGUCCUGGAGAGGAAGGUGGAAUGCUUGGUGUAGAGGUGAAAUUCGUAGAUAUCAAGCGGAAACACCGGUGGCGAAGGCGGCCUUCUGGACAGUGA
rnacentral:rRNA from 1 species